rnacentral:rRNA from 1 species
GACGAACGCUGGCGGCGUGCCUAAUACAUGCAAGUCGAACGCUUCUUUCCUCCCGAGUGCUUGCACUCAAUUGGAAAGAGGAGUGGCGGACGGGUGAGUAACACGUGGGUAACCUACCCAUCAGAGGGGGAUAACACUUGGAAACAGGUGCUAAUACCGCAUAACAGUUUAUGCCGCAUGGCAUAAGAGUGAAAGGCGCUUUCGGGUGUCGCUGAUGGAUGGACCCGCGGUGCAUUAGCUAGUUGGUGAGGUAACGGCUCACCAAGGCCACGAUGCAUAGCCGACCUGAGAGGGUGAUCGGCCACACUGGGACUGAGACACGGCCCAGACUCCUACGGGAGGCAGCAGUAGGGAAUCUUCGGCAAUGGACGAAAGUCUGACCGAGCAACGCCGCGUGAGUGAUGAAGGUUUUCGGAUCGUAAAACUCUGUUGUUAGAGAAGAACAAGGACGUUAGUAACUGAACGUCCCCUGACGGUAUCUAACCAGAAAGCCACGGCUAACUACGUG